UACGGAGGGUGCAAGCGUUAAUCGGAAUCACUGGGCGUAAAGCGCACGUAGGCUGUUAUGUAAGUCAGGGGUGAAAGCCCACGGCUCAACCGUGGAACUGCCCUUGAUACUGCACGACUUGAAUCCGGGAGAGGGUGGCGGAAUUCCAGGUGUAGGAGUGAAAUCCGUAGAUAUCUGGAGGAACAUCAGUGGCGAAGGCGGCCACCUGGACCGGUAUUGACGCUGAGGUGCGAAAGCGUGGGGAGCAAACAGG
rnacentral:rRNA from 1 species